rnacentral:lncRNA from 1 species
ACAUUCAAAAAAACUAACAUUCGAUAAAACUAACAUUCAACAAAACAACAUUCAACAAAACUAACAUGGAAGAACUAUUUGGAUGGAGGAGUUUGAUAUCUUUGAUCGCUCUGACCUGCAUUACUUUUAUCUUGCAACGAUCCACGAUCUUAAAGUUGUGGAGUUGUAUUUGAUUGAGAUAAUUGUUUUCUUCAAGUCUUCAAACAUGUCAAACAUUUCAUUAUAUUUCCUUUUUAAAACCCGAUUAUCCUAUAAAACAUUUAAGAUUCAUUGAUAUUUAUGUAUUAGUUGAAAAUUUUAUGUACUAUCAUACACAUACCUCUAGUAACAUCUCCUUUUGAUCGUUCAUUUUUUCUUUUUCUUUCUCAAUAGAUCUUGCAUUCAUUUCAAUUGAAAAUCUGAUAGAAGCAGUGCUCGACUCAGCAAAUGAUCCUCCACCAAGUCCAAUGUGUCUCCCUUUUUUUGCUUUGAAUAAAUUUUGAAAUGCAUUUUUGUUGAAUCACCUAAAAGCGAAAAAUAAUAUAUAAGAAAAUAAAACAUUUAAAUAAUUUGAAAUAGUAAAAUAAUUUAAAACAUACGUCUUCAUCCGUUGUUAGACGUAAUUUUUGAAUUUCAUCACUUUUGUAAUAUUCAGACAUGUUUCUCUAUAAAAUAAGUAAUAAGCUAUGAGUGGAUCGAUAAAAUACUAAUUAUAAAUAUUAUAAAAUAAACUAAGACUUACAACGACUUCGUUGUCAGUACCAGAAGAACGAAUCAAUGUAGAUGCCUCAAUGCCUUCGCGUUACAGAUUUUCUUUUAUUGCACUGAAAGGAAUUGACCAUGUUUUAUGAUUUAGUAUCUUCUUAGUCCGGUUUGUUUUGUUUAUUUUGGAUUUUCUCUGCGAAUUCAUAUACAAUGUUAUACAACUUACAAUAUAAAAUAGUAAAUAAUUGAAGUAUGGAUGUAUAAAAAACAAUACCUUAAAUUCUUCUGUAGUCCAUAAUUUUUCCACACACUUUUCGAAAGUGAAUCGAUCAAUGUAUGGAGGAAGACUAGCAUACAUCCUUUCAGUUGAUUCAUCAUCAACAAAUGGAUCAAAGUAUUUUUCCUUUAUAUAGUUUCGAUAACGUCUUCAAGUAUUGUUGAGUUUGAAUUUGAUGUAUUGAUGAGCAUUUGGGUAACCGUCUAAAUCAAAAUCAACCUAUAUAAUAAAAAUUGAAUCUAAAUCAGAAAAUAAAAAUAAACAUAUCUCAAUGUACUCGAAUUCUUGUCGAAAGCUCUGAGAUGUUUGUUUCGGCCAGUUCACAUUCAAUGGAAAAAUUGUAUGCAUUUUUGCGACUCUAUUGAUCAUAGCAUUAAAUUUCUUACGCAGACGUCCAGUUGGUUACAUGUGCGUUGGAUCCCAUUCUACUUUAAAUCUUUCACUUUGUUUGGGGUGAUCUUUCGGAUGAUCUAAGUUUCUACCUCUUCUAUUUGGUAGACUCAAUUCUGAAAUAAAAAAUAAUGAGUCAAUAAAUACACAUAAAUCAAUCAAUUAUAUAAUAUACACAUCGAUUAUAAUUAGUUAGUUACCAUCAUUAUCUCCGAGGUCGGAGUCGGAAUUAGAUUCACCCAUUGUUGUUGGUACUUGAGUAGUUGGAGUACUCGAACCUUGAGAAGUUGGAGUUGGAAUUUGAGUUGGAGUUGAAGUUGGAUUCGGAAUUGGAGUUGAAAUUUGAGUUGAAAUUGAAGUUGGAGUCGAAGUUGCAAUCGGAACAUGAGUAUUUGAAGUAGGUUCUUCAUGGUCGACAGAACUUCGUGUAAAUCGUCGUUUCUUACUAACCAAUAUUUUUUUGGGUGCCAUUUAUAAUCUGUGAAUACAACAAAAUAUUCAGCACUUAAAAUUAAUAAAAACAGAAAAAUAAAUAAAGUAAAAAAAUUACUCACAAAGAAUAUAUAAGAAAAAUAUAUUUCACUGCUAAAUAGUUAUUUGAAACAUUGAAAUAAAUUUAUUAAUGAAAGGAACAUCGAAGCAUUAUAAAAGGAACUCAUAAAAUCAAUUCAAUCAACUAUAUGAGAUCCAAAUGAAAAUGAAUAUUCUUGCUGGAAAAAUUUACCCUUUCUAAGAAAAUGAUUUCUUCUGAAAAUUUGGUGCGCCGGACGGCACUUCUGAGAUUGAGAUAAAGACCGAUUGAAGAAAGAAAAGAGUUAGUAAAUAGACAAAACAAUAUUGACUAGCAAAGCGAAAAUAUCACUUUCUGAAUUCUAAAAAAUAGAAACGACUAUGGGGGAAAUAGAUAUUGGGGGAAACACAACAGAAAUAGAUUGGCCGAAUUCUAUGAAAAUAAGGUUGAUUUAAGAAUCCAUGAUAAAAAAUAACAAAUAGACAACCGAAAACAACAAGAUAAAGCAUUUGAUUAAAAAAAGACAAUGAGGAAACAUACCCUUAAUCGCGGAUUUGGAGGUCUUGAAGUUUGAAAAUCUGGAAGUUUGAAAAUUUGAAACUAACCAUCAAUAAAUCUGAAAAAAAUAGAAUAUCUUCAUUUCAAAAUGAACCCAAAUUACUCUAUAUCGAUCAUGACAACCUGCUGAAAAAGGAAUCCAAUCAUGGCAAUAAAACAAAAACCCAAUAAUCAAUACCAUCAACAAAUCUGAAGGUCUGGAAAUCUGGAACUAACCAUGAACUAAGUUAGAUCUAAAUAGAUUGUCUUCAUUUCAAAAUAGACCCAAUUUAACUCUAUAUCGAUCAUGACGACCAUACAAAAAAAAUCAGUCAUGACAAUAAAUAAAUAAAACCCUGAUACAAAAACACAAUUAACAAUAUAAAACAGAAAAUUAAAACACAAACAAAUAAAUAAAUUUCUUGUACUCUGAUACAAAAACAGAUAAAUAAAAAUAAAGGAUAAUAAAACAAAAACAUAAACGAAAUAAAAAAAUCCAAACAGGAAUUUAAUAGGAAGAAAACGGAGAGAGAGCAAUGGUGGAAUAGAAGAUUGAACAAGUACAAAUCCAAACAGCACAGAACAAUACAGUUUUGUUCUGGACUACGAGGAGAUAGAAGAUAAAAAAAACAGAUAAGAAAUCUAAUCAUAACAUUUAAAAUAAAUUUUACAAAUUAUUUCAUUCAAAUUAUAAAUAGUAAUUUUACCUUGUUCUUGGAGAGCAGUGUCCUGAUUUUCUUCAGUAAUCAAGAACCAAUUAAUUUUUUUCAAUAAUAAAAAUGAAGAGCAGUGUCCUAAUUACAAAGAUCAAGAAAGAAAAAUAAGAAAUGAAACAUGAGGCAGAUACUUAGAUAAAUCAACUCUAAACCAAAACUAAACUAAACCAAAACUAAACCAAAGCAUACUAAUCAACCCUACAAAGAUUAAAAAAGAAAGUGACCCUACAGGCUACAUAGAAUACAAAAUACCAUCAUCCAUCUCUAUGAUUUCAAAAGAGAGUGGCAGAAUAAAUACCAUCAUCCAUCCAUCUCCAUAAUUACCAUCCAUCUCUUAUUACUUGAAAAUAAAUAAUAAGAACACAGAGUUCCAGAAUCACAGAUUUGUGGAUAAAAUUGAUUGAUAUUUAAUGGUUGUAAAUAUCAGAAAUUUUAAAUAAACUAAUGAUUGAAGAAAAAUAUAUUGGUUGGAUUUAGGAGGAUUUGAUUUCAAAACAAAAAGUAAAGCAGAAAGAAUAACAUUGGUAAAUAUCAAAAUUUGUUAUUUUCAAUCUACAUAUACAAUGAUCAAUUUUCUAAAUGAUGGUUCAUGGUUGCAAAAUGUAGGGAUCAAAUUAUUAGUAUGUAUUAAAUGUAAACACGUGCAGGUAACUGUUAGAAAGAAAGAAAAAUCCAAAUCGAUCAGCAUAUGAAAACACCCUAAAUACAAUCGACCAGCAUAUGAAAACAACCUAAAUACAAGUCUCGCUGUCACAGCUACCAGCGAGAUUCUUUGUGACGUUGAGAGGGUUCCUCAACGUUUGCUGGAGUUUAGGUGUUACCCCCACCCCCAUACCUCCUCCUCAACUAUUACAAGCUGUGUAAGGAACGGGGAAAUAAAAAAUUUUAAAUAAUUGUUAUUUUUAACAUAAUAUCCGUUACAAAUACUCUAAAAAUUCGUUACCAUAUAUAUGUCCGUCUUGAUAUCUAGUAUUUAUAACGGAAACUACAAAGUUAACGGAAAUUCCGUUACAAAUUUCAUUAACUUUGUUUAUUAGUAUUUGUAACGGAAAUUUCGUUAACUUUACUUCGUCCGAACUGCCUACUUUUUUUUGUAGUGCCCUGAGUCGGCGACUGGGUGCCCCAAUCGCCGACUCUUAAGUUUUGGGUAACUGUGAAGGUUGUUUUGAAAUUUUCCCACUUGAGUCGGCGACUCCCUCUGGGAAUCGUCGACUCCUAUUGUGAAACGUCGGAUGUUUCCGAAGAUCCUUAAAGAUAUUUGGAGAAUAUAUGCAAAUUUUCCAAUUAAGGAAAUAUACCUCUCAAAUUUUGCAAAAUAGUGGCCGGAAUCGACGAUUCAGCUUGGGAAUCGUCAACUCAAGCGUGAUUUCAGGGAUUUGGAGAUCGAUUUCCGAUUCUUUCCCUUGCAAUUUUCGGAUUUUCUAGGGGGUUUUUGCAAUUUUCUCAGGGGCUAUAAAUAGUGGUGAGCGCUUCAAGGCUCCCAAGGCCCCGAGCACUUUUGAGAGAGGCUCAAGCUCUCAAGUCGCACCUGAGCGGGCUGGUUUCGCACCUUAUACGAGUGGCAUGCCCCUUCCUGAUUUUAUGGCUGAUCCACAAGUCAGGUUGGAUGUCAUGUCCAUCUUAAUGGCGAAAUCCGGAAGAUGGGUUCGGAGUGAGCUCAUGACAGCUCUGAACGCUGUAAGUGCUUCUACUUUCCGAAAACAUUUUUUACUUAUUGUUUUUGUUUGUUUGCUAACUUGUUUUUUUUAAGUAGGCUUGCUACAUGGCCCAUGCUUGUUUUGGCAUGGAUUCGAUAAAUGACGUCCAGAAAAUUUAGGAUCGAUAUAAUGAGUUGGACGUCAAGUACAAGAAUAGCGAGAAGCAGCUGGGCAAGCUGGCCCAUGCCCAAAGAAAGUUUGAGAACCUUAGAAACAACGUCAUCCAGAAGAAGGAGAAGACGAUUGAGUCCCAGAAAAAGGAAAUCGACGAUUGAGUCCCAGAAGAAGGAAAUCGACGAUUAUGUUGCGCAGAUUUUGGGACUUCGUAAAGAACAGAAGAGUGCCUCUAAGGAAUUACAGAACAUGCGAGCUCGGGUAGAAACUGAGAUUGGAAAUGUGGUUUCCUCUGAAGCCACAAACGCGAACUUGAGGAACACUAACUCUAAGCUGGAGAGGAAGUGUGCUGAGCUGAAUGACCAACUCUCUCGCUCUAAGGAGGAGUUGGAAAAUGCGAAGAAGGAGAACUCCGUACUGAAGAAGGAGAACUCCGCACUUCUUGAUAAAGCUAAGGACCUGGAGUUGGACAAAAAGUAUCAAUCCGAUCAACUCCAAGAACUUAGCUUCUUUGGUACCUCCGUGUUCCCAUCACUAUCCGAAGACUUUAUUUCGGAUAUCAUGACGUGAGUAGAUGAGCAUCCCGAGGAAAAGGAGAAGAAUAAGGAUGCCCUAGACAAGCUAAAGAACGAAGAAGACUAGAUUUUUUUUAUUUCUUCUUAGCUUGUAACUUUUGACAUAUUUUUUUAUAUGUUUGUAAUCUUUUGGAACUCAAUAUCAAUUAUUUUGCUUUCUAAAUUAAUUGUUUGUUUAAUUUAUUUUUUGAAUUGUAACUAAGACCCGAAAUUAGAUUCACAAGUCGUAAUUUAGCCGGUCUGAACGUAAAUUAGACUCUCCUAACCCUAUCGCUAGCCGCUCUGGGCGUAGUCUUGGUCGUACGAAUCGUAGCUCAGUCUACGGCUAAACUCGCGAAAUAAAUUAAACUUUACAACUAAUCCAGACUCGCAAAUCUAAUUGACGUAGUGAGUUGGAGAUACAAAAAACUCUUGGGAAUUUUAGCUAAGACUUAGAAUUUUCUAGACUAAGUGACGUGAGCAUUUAGAACUUUUUUCGAUCCUAAGACUCUAGAUUCCUUACUAUGUAGUUCAACUCCGACCGAAGCUACGGAGCAACUUUUUACCCGCAUCAAGGUCGUAACGACGAGAUGGGGUUGAAUCAUUAAGGCUAUAGCGACAAAAUGAUUACUAAUCUAUUAAAGCCAUAGUGACAUAAUAGAUUCUGGUAAGUGUGGUGGGUACUUAGAACCUCUUGUGGUUGGGUUCACUUGUACCUAUCAACUACCUAGGACUCUACUUCUAGACCCUAAUGCGUGGUUGAACUCUGGCUGUAGCGACAGAGUAACUUUUUGGACCCACAUCUAGGCUGAAGUGACAAGAUUGGGUUGAAUCGUAAUGUGUCAAAACGAUUUUAAUCUAUUAAGGCCAUAGCUACAAAAUAGAUUUAUAAUGUGGGGUGCUAGUUAGAGUCGUAGGUAGAUGAUAAAUGUAAACUUUAUUAAAAUGUAAAUUACAAAGGUAAAAUCUGAUUUUUCUACUUUGCAAUUUGUACUAACAUAUAGACUAAGAGGCCCUAAGGAAUAAUGUGUUCAAUACUAAGCGUAGUAUUGCUGUAUGUUGUCCGUGUGCCAGAAGCAGGGACCUUUGGGUGACAACUUAUUUCUAUUCCUCUCAGUUAUGCGAGACUUUCAGUGGGUCUACCACCAAAUAGCAUAUUAAUGAUUUUCCGUGGGUGGUCCUCGCUAUUGUCGCUGUAUGGCGAAGGAGAGCGUGGACGUUUCCCCUUCGUGUCAGACUUGCAAUCGUCUCGACCUCGGGAUCCUCUGACAAAGUUGUCAAGUUCACCGUUCGAGAUCAAUUGCUCGACAUAAAGCGAGAACUCCUUGCAAUAGUCCGUCAGAUGGUCGUGGUCCUUGUGGAAUUUACAGAAUCUUCCACCUUUUUGACGGCUAUCCUUGGUUGCAGGGUCCAUAGAGCGAGGAGCGGGCAGAUCCACUAUGUUCUUCAGUUUCUCAAACAGCUCGCCUUUGCUGAUUGUUAGCGAGGUCCGAUCCUUCCAUUGUUGAGGUAGACCCCUUGGCGACUGUUUGGUGGAUGUUUGAUACACCUUGUUAUCGUGUUUGGGCUUCCAUUCCUUUCUAAAGGAAUCAGCCGCAUUGUCAGUGUAUCUGUUCGAGGAGUCAUUGUAGCUCUUCUUCUCGAACUUUUGUUUUUUGAAGCUAGUGUUCUCAAGUUCCACUAGCUUGUUUUCAUUCUGCUCUUCCACCUCAAUGAAUGAUUGAGAUCGUUGGAAGAAGUCGGGUAAGGUCUCCACUUUAUGGAGCGUAAGAUUCAGGGCCAAAGGGGAGUAGGGUACUAGCCCAUUCGUGUACCCCGCUAUGGCUAGACUUGGGAUUAAGUUGCUCACUUCUGUCAUCAUUGAAGUGAACUUAAUCGUGUAAUCCCUCAGAGACAGUUUGUUCUGUCGUAGUGCCAGCAGUGCAUUGACACUGUGUUUGAUCCUAAUCAUCCCCACACGUUGGACGAUGAAUUUGGACGAGAGGUCCGCGAAGUUGGAGAUUGAUCGUGUUGGCAAACCGGAAAACCACCGAUAGGCAUUACCCUUGAGAGUGCCGGGGAAUGCUCGACACAGCAGUGCGUUGUCAGUGGUUUGCGGUUCCAGAACAUUGAGGUUGAGGUUGAUGUGAUCUUUUGGAUCACUCGAACCAUCGUACGACUCUAUUCUGGGUACCCGCCAGGUUGGUGGAAAGGCCACCUUCAAAAGGUUCUCUUGGAAAGAAGCGCUUUUGACUCUUAGGAAUUCGAUCGGACCGUUGGCGACCAGAUUGUCGACCAGCUUCCGACGGAAGUCCUCCAUGAACCGUGUUGUAAGAGUCCUCUCAGUGCGACUCUUACUGGGUCCAGCCCUUGAUUUUUCUGGUUCUGGACCUUUCUUUUUCUCAACAGACGGAGAAUUGUGAGAGGCUGAUUCACCCGCUCUCUCGCGGGCGAUGGUCCUCUGACUCCUCUCUUUCUCGAGGUUGUUAACUCUUUGCUCCAUGUUCUCCAUGAAGUUAAUCAACCUCGCUUCUAGAGCGGGAGAGAUGGAUGUCCGAGGAGGCAAAUCAGUUUGAGCAUCCUCAAACCUUUCAGCUUUCCUGUUUCGCUGAGGAUGCUCAGUUUGUGCCCCAUCCGGUGCCACUGAGGAUUUUCCUUUGUUCCUUAGAUGGUAAUCGUGCUUUUGCCUUUCAGAAGUCAUAGAUGACAAAAGCGAAUUCCAACCGAAGCGUAGGUAUUGACCGAACUAACUCGAAAGAAAUCAAGUGGAAUCGACGACUCAGCAGGUGGAGUCGGCGACUAGCCUUAGGUUUGUUUUGACUUUCGAGCCGAGUCGCGGAUAACACUCUUAGCUAGCAGAAUAACCCGCAAUCGGCGACUCACUAGGUGGAGUCGGCGAUUGCCUGUGUGAAUCGGAGAUUCCUUGAUACAAAGUCAGCGAUUCACCCUAAGGGAAUCGAGCCGAACUUUGUGAAGAAAAAUUCGCGAUUACGACGGGAUAUCGUAGUUCGAUAGUCCCACAGACGGCGCCAGCUGAUGAAGCGCAAAAUCUGCUACCAGUAGGCUCGCGGGGUCGCGAGGAGGGCCGGAGGCUUUAAAAUCCACGACGCGUGCUCUACGUCAAAUACCUGCAGAAGUAGAGGAGAGUCGGCGACUCAGGUGUGGGAGUCGGCGACUCGGGCUCCUUGGUUCUCUGGUUGGAGUGUGGAGUCAAGUGGUUGGAGGGAUUACUUGAUGAAUGAGAGGACCCCCCAAGGACCCCUUUUAUAGGGUCUUUUGGGACGUUUCUCAUUCAUUACCCGUGGGGCCUACGCUAUUAUGGUUCCCCAUUAAGGGUGCCAUAAUGGCGUGGGUCAAGUCAAGUAACGGUUGGGAGUCGGCGACUCAGGGUGAAGCCAUCGAUUCCCCAUGAGCCAGGUUGGCAGUCUACCAGAACUGACCAACGAGGCCUAGAAUAGGCGGCUCACCUCUGGAGUUGGUGACUUGGUAGUCCCAGCCGUCGAUUCCCAGUGUUGACUUGAGUACUUGACGUAGACACUUGCCCGUAUCUCUGGAUUUCUCCGGGGUUCCGGCAUAAAGGGGCGGAACUCUAGUCCUUGUUGAAGGGCGUUGCUGGGAGUGACUGACGUAAUCAGGCAUGUCUCACCAGUACUCCCCCUGAAGAGAGCACAAGAAACAUGCGUGUACCGCCAGUUUUUAUUUAAACUUUUGCAGGUUGGACCUUCGACUUCUUUAAUACUCUUUGUACGAGUCUUGGUCAAUUUCCUGCAUAGUGAAAACUUAACAAUAAAUUAACUAAAAGUUUAUAAGUAAUUGAUUAUUCUAAUUAAGUCCUCUUUACAGAUUAUAAAACAUUCUGGACUCUGUUUCAAUUUGAUAAUUGAUUAAUUAGAAACAGAUUAUGACUCUGUUUAAUUACAGACCUAAUUAGAACCAGAACUAAUUCCUUUACUGUUUAGUUCUUUUCUCCCAGAUGCAUAUUCAAGGAUUGCGAUCCACUUCAACUACAAUUAGCACUGUUCUGAUGGCUUGCUCACGAUCAUCACAUAUGUAUAAUGGAAAAUUUGUUCAUGGAUAUAUACUUCGAAACAAGAUUGAACUUGAUAUCUUUGUUUACACUGCCCUUGCCGAUCUUUAUUUUAAAUGUGGGCAUAUUCUUUGUGCAGAAUCUAUCUUUCAUGGAAAUGCCAAAAGAUAAUGUUGUUUCAUGAAAUGUCAUGAUUUUUGGAUAUGUAUCAAAUGGUGUUUAUUUCAAUGCCAUUGAUAUCUUCUGGGCCUCUGGCACAUGAGAGAUAGUGGAGUACAACCUGACAUUAUUAGUUUUGCUAGUGUUCUAUCGGCUUUUUCUCAAUUGACAGCUUUAGAACAAGGUAGGGAAAUUCAUAGUUAUAUUUCAAACCACUAGCUUGAAUCAAGUGAAGUAAUCUUGGGAGCAUUACUUGACAUGUAUGCAAAAUGUGGUGCUGUUGAAGAAGCUCGCCAUGUUUUAUAUAGAUUGCCGGUACGAGAUGUAGUGUCUUGUAUGAAAGGAACAAUCUCAAAAGAUAUUUUAUUAAUGAAGCACUUCAAUCUAUUUAUACACAAUCAUACCUACAAUAAUCAUAACUGCAGUAACUAACAAUUUCACAACUGUUAUACAAUUAUAUUAUACAACUAUAACUAUUAAUCUCAUAUUCCUCAAGAUGAAGGUAGUAUUUCUGUACUGAAUCUUAGAUAUUUGUAAGCUACUUCAUGAAAUAACUUGUUUCACUUGCUCUAGAGUUGUAUACCACUUCAUGAUUAGCUGAUUAAUUGGAUUAAUAGUAGGAAUAAAAACACAGCUGGGAUACCUAUUGUUGCUCCUCUUUUCACUUUUUAUUCACUGGGAAACCCAUUCUAUCAAGCCAAUUAAACCCAUCACUACUCUCUACUAAUCCUGCUGCAGCUUUCCCUUUCAGCUUUUUAUUCAUGAUACUCUGCUCCUGCUGAAAAGAAAAGAAAAGAAAAGAAAAGAAAAGAAAAACACCACAGCACAACAUACCUGUUGGUGAGGUGGGCUCGUCGGUGCAAAAGCUCACAACCGCAACUCUCUAGAAUUGUCAACCCCCUCCCCUAGUGGACCAGGGGAGGUAUUUAUAGUAUUCUUUGCCAGCUCCUAAGCCUCGUGCGUUGGCUGGCCCACUUGUUGGCCCACAUCGUGUCCUUUACGCCGUCUACUUCACAAACCAGAUAUCUCUGGGAGGUUAACUAAAUGGGCAAUCGAGCUCAGUGAGUUCAACUUGGAUUUCCGACCAGCCACUGCCAUCAAGGGGCAAGCUGUGGCGGACUUCACUGUUGAACUCACACCACCCAAUUUGACCCAACCUUAGGUUGUAGAAGUAGCUAGACGGCUCGAGUUGUAGCACAGGCUCAGGUAUCGGAGUGAAAAUCCAUAGCCCGGAUGGAAAAAACUACGAACACUCGAUACGGCUUCACUUCCCGGCCUCUAACAACGUUGCGGAAUAUGAAGCAGCCAUACACGGCCUGAAGUUGUUAAGAACUCUCGACGCUGAGAAUGUCACACUCCGCACUGACUCCCAGCUCGUAGCUCGGCAAACCACUGGUGAAUUCGCUUGCAAGGAACCACAAAUAACUAAAUAUGUGGAGGCAAUGGUAGAACUCACCAAGCAGUUCGCUGAGUUCAGAAUCGACCAAAUCCCUCGAAUUCAAAAUUCCCCCGCCGACGCUUUGGCACGUUUAGCGUCGGCCUGGGAGGGAGGGCAGCGCGAGAUAUUAGUAGACUCCAUACUCCAGCCUACAUGCCAAGUAUUGACUGUUACCUCUGACCCUCAAGAUUGUUGGAGGCAACCGAUAUUGACAUUCAUUUAGAAUGGAGUACUUUCUGACAAUAAAGGGGAGGCCAAAAAGUUGAAACAUAAAGCGGAAAAGUACUGUGACGUCGGAGGAGUGCUUUACAAAAAGUCCUUCGAUAGCCCGCUGCUACGCUGUUUGGCCAAAUCAGAUAUAGAUAAGGUUAUUCAGGAAGUACACGAAGGCUCGUGCGGGCUCCAUGAGGGAGGAAGAGCACUGGCCUUCAAAAUCAUAAGGCUGAGAUAUUAUUGGCCCACUCUAAGGUUGAAAGCUCGCACUUACGUCCGCAAGUGCCGAGCAUGUCAGCUGCACAACCCCAUGCAGCAGAAACCAUCUGCGGACAUGACUCCGAUUCUGAGCUCGAUCCCGUUCGCAAGGUGGGGACUGGACAUCGUAGGACCAUUCCCCCCCUCAACAUCCCAGGCUCGGUUCAUCUUUGUAGCAGUAGAUUACUUUACAAAGUGGGUCAAGGCUCAGGCUGUAGCGAAAAUCACUCAGGAUGCGGCAGUCAAGUUCGUCUAUCGCUCCAUAGUCUGUCGAUUCGGAAUUCCCCAACACAUUAUCACGGACAAUGACACACAAUUCACAGGGGGGAAUUUUCAAGAAUGUGCGAGGACCUAAACAUAAAACUCCAUUUUGUCUCCGUUUACCGACCUCAGGCAAACGGGCAAGUGGAGGUCACUAACAAGGCUAUCGUACAAGGAUUAAAAAAGAAAAUCGAAUCAGCUAAAGGGACUUGGGCAGACAAGUUGUGCGAAAUCCUAUGGGCAUAUCGCACAAUGAGUAAAAACCCCACGGGAAACACCCCUUUUGCUAUGACCUAUGGAGUGGAAGCAGUCGUACCGAUCGAGAUGAGUAUACCAACAUAUCGAGUCUCGAAGUACGACGAAUAAACAAAUGACCAAAACCUAGAUACAGAGCUAGAGUUGAGGGAUGAAACCCGUGACGAGGCGGACCUGCGAAACGAAUCAUACAAGGCAAGCGUAUCAAGGUACCACAAUCGCCAAUUACGCAAAAAAGUCUUCCUGACAGGAACUCUCGUCACGUGGAAAGCUAGCAUAACAGAAAGGAAUAGACCAAGAAAUAAACUGUCAUCCAACUUCGAAGGUCCCUACAUCGUCGAAGAGGAGAUAAGGCCAGGAACUUAUCGCCUACGGCGACAGGAUGGAACAAUGGUUUCAAACACCUGGCACGCGGACAACAUGCAACAAUACUACGCAUGGUACUCAUCGCAUUACGUUUAUUUUCUUUAAUUUUCCUAGUAUGUAUGUUAGUCAAUCAUAGAAUUCUUUCUUCAUGUUAUAACCCGCAAGGAUACCCUAAAAAGUCUAUUUUGUCGCUUCGGCCUCAGUAGAUCAAGGAUCAUUCCGUCGCUACGGCCCCAAUCACUACAAAAAAAAGUUAGCAGUUAGGACGAGCAAAGUUAACGGAAUUUCCGUUACAAAUACUAUUUUUAACGGAAAUUCCGUUAACUUUGGUCCGAGACAAAAUUUCCGUUAAAAAUACCAAAAUCCGUUACAAAAAUCCGUUACAAAUACUCCGAAGUCAAAGUUAACGGAAAGAAAAAUCCGUUACAAAAUUUUUAGGUAUUUUUAACGGAAUUUCCGUUACAAAUAAGGAAAAAUAAUUUGUAACGGAAAUUCCGUUAAAAAUGAGGAAAAAAAAUUUGUAACGGAAAUUCCGUUAAAAAUGAGGAAAAAAAAUUUGUAACGGAAUUUCCGUUAAAAAUGAGGGGAAAAAAAAUUUCCAGAAUUCCAGUGCACUGGAAUUCUGGAAUUCUGGAAUUCCUGUAAAAUCAUUCCAAAUUCCUGUAAAUUCAUGCAAUUAAUAUUAAUUCCUGUAAAUUCAUUCAAUUAAUAUUAAUUCCUGUAAAUUCAUUCAAUAUUCAACAAAUAUUCAAUACAUAAACAAUAUUCAACAUUCAAGAAAAGUAACAUUCAACAAAUUAACAUUCAACAAAAACUAACAUUCAAAAAAACUAACAUUCGACAAAAAUAACAUGAAAGACCUAUUUCGAUGGAGGAGUUUGAUAUCUUUGAUUACUCUGAGCUGCAUUAAUACUUCUAUCUUGCAACGAUCCACGAUCUGAAGGUUGUGGAGUUGUAUUUGAUUGAGAUAAAACUGUUUUCUUCAGGUCUUCAAACAUAUCAAACAUUUCAUCAUAUUUCCUUUUUAAAAUUUGAUUAUCCUGUAAAACAUUUAAGAUUCAUUUAUAUUUAUGUAUUACUUUAAAAUUUUAUUGACUUUCAUACACAUACCUCCAUCAGCUUUUCCAUUCGAUCGUUCAUUUUUUCUUUUCCUUUUUCUUUUUCUUUGUCUUUCUCGAUAGAUCUUGCAUUCAUUUCAAUUGAAAAUCUGGUAGAAGCAGUGCUCGACUCAGCAAAUGAUCCUCCACCAAGUCUAAUGUGCCUCCCUUUUUUGCUUUGAAUAAACUUAGAAAUGCAUUUUUGUUGAAUCACCUACGUGCGAAAAAUAAUAUAUAAGAAAAUAAAACAUUUGAAUAAUUUGAAAUAGUAAAAUAAUUUAAAACAUACAUCUUCAUCCGUUGUUGGACGUAAUUCUUGAAUUUCAUCACUUUUGUAAUAUUCAGACAAGUUUCUCUAUAAAAUAAGUAAUAAGCUAUGAGUAGAUCAAUAAACUACUAUUUAUGAACAUUAUAAAAUAAACUAAAACUUACAACGACUUCGUUGUCAGUACCAGAAGAACGAAUCAAUACAUUGAUUCGUGAUGCCUCAAUGCCUUCGCUUUGCAGAUUUUCUCUUAUUGCACUGAAAGGAAUUGACCCUGUUUUAUGGUUUAGUAUCUUCUUACUCCGGUUUGUUUUGUUUAUUUUUUAUUUUCU